CUGACAACCCUGGAGACUGAAACCCUUUAUUCAUCCAUGGAAUAGACCUCAGCAUGGGCAGCAGCACCAACAUCCCCCAACAUUGCCCCAUCGGUGCUUCCUUAUUCUUGACCUUGAGGGGUCAUCUCCAUUAGAUCUCCAUGGUCCAUUCAAUCCUUGGUAUUU
rnacentral:sRNA from 1 species